rnacentral:rRNA from 1 species
ACUCCUACGGGAGGCAGCAGUGGGGAAUAUUGCACAAUGGGGGAAACCCUGAUGCAGCCAUGCCGCGUGUGUGGAGAAGGCCUUCGGGUUGUAAAGCACUUUCAGUAGGGAGGAAGGUAGUGUAGUUAACACCUGCACUAUUUGACGUUACCUACAGAAGAAGCACCGGCUAACUCCGUGCCAGCAGCCGCGGUAAUACGGAGGGUGCGAGCGUUAAUCGGAAUUACUGGGCGUAAAGCGCAUGCAGGCGGCCUGUUAAGUCAGAUGUGAAAGCCCGGGGCUUAACCUCGGAAUUGCAUUUGAAACUGGCAGGCUAGAGUCUUGUAGAGGGGGGUAGAAUUUCAGGUGUAGCGGUGAAAUGCGUAGAGAUCUGAAGGAAUACCAGUGGCGAAGGCGGCCCCCUGGACAAAGACUGACGCUCAGAUGCGAAAGCGUGGGGAGCAAACAGGAUUAGAUACCCUGGUAGGAUAGCG